UUACCCCGUUGAUAAGGCUUAUUGUGACCCCGUUACGUACAGUUCGGCGCAAGUCACUCAGUUUUUGAAGGCAAUUCAGCUAUAUUAACAUGUUCAGUUGGUUUGUCGUUCCCUUUGUUUCUCUCUCACUUCUGAAACUACACCAUGCUUUGCCAGAGUGUAAGCAGCUAGACGAAUGUUCGUGUAUGUUAUCGGAUGGUAAACAAAUCAACAUUUGGUCGCUGGGAACUAAAGGCAGGCCAAGAUUCCCAUAUGAAGUCCAACCUGAUGACAAGGAUUAUGAAUGCACCUAUAAUCCAUGCUAUGACUUCAGUGAUGAGCACUGCAAGAAUGUCGUUGUAAGUGGCAUCAAUUUCUACUGGAUUUCCUGCUCGUGGUUAUCUACUUUCCGUAUAAUGCCAUUGGAGCACACAAGCAAGCCGCGCUGGAAAAUGAUCGGCUGCCAAUCGCCUGUCAAACCACGAAGGACUACACCUCCUCGAUUGGUCUUGGCAAAGCGGCAACAGCUAAGUGGGGCUCGGAAACAAGUGAAUCAUACACAAUAUCAUAUGAAGACAGAGAAACCAGCAGGUCAACGUUAGUUGAAUUAAAAUGCGACAAAUCUUCCACUACUGCAAGACUUCAGGUUCUAGGAGAAAAGCCAGGAGAGACUGGAAAAAUGUAUUUUGUUCUCACAACAAAUUGUGCAUGCCCUGGAGAAUGUAAAGGUCCAACACCGACCAAAGAAACAGGUAGUGGACUGGCCAUAAGUGUGGGAACGAUCAUUUGCAUCAGUUUUUCAGGACUGGUUAUCAUCUACUUCAUCUGCGGAGUUCUCUUUAUGAAGUUUGUACGUAGGGCUGUUGGAUUGGAAGUAAUCCCCAAUGUGUCUCUCUGGAUAAGUUUGUCUGUUUACAUUAAGGACGGGUUUAAGUUCGUGUUUUCAGGGGGCAAGAGAACGGCAAAGUAUGAUGAAAUCUAGCAGGAUCUGAAUAAAAGCAUCCAUGGUGUGACAAUGCUACCCCAGAAGAUUUGAAAUAAACAUCAAGCGUGUGGGUAAAACAGAGCAGACAGAGAACGACAGUAACACGGAAUGGCUAUGGAAAUGCAUGAGAAACGCAGCAAUAAUCCAUAGUGUUGCAGUAUGAGUCUCGACUUAGACCAAGAGAGGGCACAAUUUUCUAAGCAACGGAGGCUCCCUUCAUAGGAACUUCGCUGGUUCACCAACGACUAUG